CAAAUAUUUCAUUGAACUCUGAAGCCUGAACAGCCUAUUAGCCCAAAUUGCCACCCUAAUGAAAGAAGAUACCUAGAAUUAAAUAAUUUUCCUAAUAGGAAAAAAGAAAGAAAAGAAAGGAAAAAGCUAUCAUUUGUGCUGAGCAGUAACUGACUUGCAAUAGAUUGGAAACAGAAUAUUUACAGGUAAGCAAAGCCUGCAAAAAAAAUUUGUAAGUACGUUUCAAAAAGAUCAAAUUUUUUCCCUUAUCUCAGCAAUGGGAACAAAGAUGACAGACUCUUGAUGUAACUGGUUUUUAUUUGACUUCCUAGACUUGCCAAUUUGUAGUCCCAGCAAUGUCUGCUUCAUAUUCUCUAGCCUAACCUUGGCUCUACAAAGUCUCUCCAUCUCAGCCUCAGCCACUUGAGACAAAGUCACUGAAAUGGAGUUGUUCCUCUUCUUCCCUCUCUUCGUUUUUGAUUUUAACAGCUUCUUUAAACUCACAUCAUCACUGUACUCAACACUGAUCUUAUUGCUUUUAGAAGGUGAUCCAAUGGAAGCUCUUUUCCGUUCAUUUUUCUCCAAACUGCUGCUUAGAGACUUUGGUUCCUUCCUUUGGAGGACCUGUUGCGAAUUCUUUGGGGAACAUAUACUAGUUUCCAUCGAGGCAUUAUUUAAUUCCACUAUAUCAGCAGUUUUAUCCUUCAUAUUAUCUAAUCUGGGCAUGGAGAUUUUGCGACUAGAAUUGCGAAGCUCUUUUGCUCUCCCUGCCUUCCUAGAUUUUAGAGCCAAGUAUCGUGCAUUCUUGAACCAUUUGCUGACCUUCCCAGGGUCAAGACCCAAUUCUUUUGAAAGGUUUUCCUUGACAGUUCUAGAGGGAAGUUCAUUCUCUGCAAAAACCUGGCGAAGUUUCUCAACUGCAGAAGGGGGGAUUCUGAAAAAUGGCCUUCUAACUUGUGAGUCUCGAGAAAGUUUCCUCUUCACGUCAAUGGUUUCAACUUUUUUACAUUUUUUCUCACUUUCAUACAAUGUCAUAAGUGUGCUGGCUGCAUCUGACUCCUUUUCUCUCCGCUUUCUUUUUCCGGGACCCCAGUCUUCAUCUUCACUAACUUGCUCAUAUGCUGGAGCAUCCUUUCCAAACAUCUCAUCAUAUAACUUCUUAUAGUCGACUGCUCUUCGCUUUCUAGGGCCACACAUAAUUUCCUCAUCACUGGUUUCAUCAGAAUCUAAACUGCUAUAAAUAGAUUGGUUUCUAAAAUCUGUGCUUUCCAUCUCCCACUUUCUAGAUCCUGAAAAAACCUCACCGUCAGAUGACCAACCCAAGCUGAUUGAACUGCUUGCAUCAUCAGAGGCAUCAUCAUCAGUGCCUGCUCCACUGAUGCUGUUCUCCCUCCGUUCAGGAUCAUAAUCAUCAUCUUCAGAAUCAUCUGAAGGCCAUUCUUGUUCUGGAUUCAACAACAUACUUCCACCAUCAGAAAAAUUUGCUGCUUCUUUGAAUAUAUCCUGCCAACAGCCACUCACUGAGAACUGGGUUCCCAGAUGUGCAUUCAUAGCUUCUAUAAUUUCCAUCCUACAUUCACAAAACUUGCAAAACCAUCCCUGAUCUCCUGGUGGUAUAUUUGCAGUGUCCAGUGGAGGAUCUAGGCAUUUUUGAUGGAAGGCACAGUUGCAAGUCCCAUCACAGAGAACAAUAUCAUUAUCUGGGAAAACUUCAUUGGAUUUGCACUUUGCGCAGAAUAUAUGUUCAUGGGAAACAGAUCCAUCAGGUGCCAUAACCGAGUCUUCAAUACAACCCACUCUACUAAGUGAAUCCAGCUGAUGAAUUGUAUCGCGUAUGCCAAGCUUACACUUCAAAAUCUGUUUCUUGGCUCUUAGCAGUUCCUUUUCUGGUUUGAUCUUCUCUCGACUUUGACCUUUCCAACCUUCCCCAGAGUAAGCAUCAAUGAGGUUCUGUUCCAGCUUCAUUUUAAUCAGCAAGUAUCUUGCUCUCCUUUGCAAGCGUGAUGGUUCAUCUAGUUCCGCCUUCUCCUUUCGUCUUCUCUUAUUCUUCUUCUUGUUAAGGUUUUUAAAUGUGACUUCCCUGUUGGCAUUUUUCCCAUUCUCCUCAGAAGCAAUAACAGAAGAAUGUUUGCCUCGUGGCUUUGAAGAAGCCAGCUUCUUAGGCUCAUGAGCUUUUUUUAAGAUUUUUCUACUGAUCAAUUUUUUACUUGUAGAAUCAUUCCUGAUCCCCUUGCUCGAAGGGUCAGUAACUGUGCUCUUCAGCAAAUUUGCACCAACAGCUUUCAAAUGAGAUUUUGAUUUUGAUUUUGGUUUAUGUUUUUUGCAAUGAGAUAUUUUGCUGUCUUUUUUUAACUUUAAUGAUGCAAUUAACAUAGACCCAUUCUCUGUCUUUGAGAAAGAAGAUUUGCCAGACUCUUGAUGCAUCACCUUCUUUCCAGCACCCCGCAUAUUGAUCUGAGUAAUGGAAGAAAGACACUGAGAAGAUCUUGAAAUUUAAGAGUUCUACAAAACUCUGCACUAUGCAGCAAUACUAUACGAUUGUGUGUUGCAGAUAUAAAAGUAUAUAUGAUUGAUUUUUGAGGUAAAAUGGCUCCAAAAAAUUUUGAAAUAUUAAAGAAGAAGAAGAAGGAAGCAGCAGAUUGAAUGAUUUGACAAAGGCCGUGGUUCUACUCGCAGCGCCACCCAACGGUUUUGCUGCGCCUGCUCGUAAAUCGUAGUUGGAAUUUUUUGUCCGAUAAAAU
rnacentral:misc_RNA from 1 species